rnacentral:rRNA from 1 species
UACGGGGGGGGCAAGCGUUGUUCGGAAUUACUGGGAGUAAAGGGCUCGUAGGUGGCCAACUAAGUCAGACGUGAAAUCCCUCGGCUUAACCGGGGAACUGCGUCUGAUACUGGAUGGCUUGGGAUUGGGAGAGGGAUGCGGAAUUCCAGGUGUAGCGGUGAAAUGCGUAGAUAUCUGGAGGAACACCGGUGGCGAAGGCGGCAUCCUGGACCAACACUGACACUGAGGAGCGAAAGCCAGGGGAGCAAACGGG